rnacentral:rRNA from 1 species
UACGUAGGCAGCGAGCGUUGUUCGGAAUUACUGGGCGUAAAGAGUGUGUAGGCGGUGCUCCCAGUCUGUUGUGAAAUCUCCCGGCUUAACUGGGAGGGUGCAGCGGAAACUAGAGUGCUAGAGGGUGGGAGAGGUAAGCGGAAUUCCUGGUGUAGGCGGUGAAAUGCGUAGAUAUCAGGAGGAACACCUGUGGUGUAGACAGCUUACUGGACCCUCUCUGCGCUGAGACACGAAAGCGUGGGUAGCAAACAGG